rnacentral:rRNA from 1 species
UACGUAGGGGGCAAGCGUUGUCCGGAAUCAUUGGGCGUAAAGCGCGCGUAGGUGGCCUCGUAAGUCCGCUGUGAAAGUCCAAGGCUCAACCUUGGAAAGCCGGUGGAUACUGUGAGGCUAGAGUACGGAAGAGGCGAGUGGAAUUCCUGGUGUAGCGGUGGAAUGCGCAGAUAUCAGGAGGAACACCAAUAGCGAAGGCAGCUCACUGGGACGUUACUGACACUGAGGCGCGAAAGCGUGGGGAGCGAACAGG